rnacentral:lncRNA from 1 species
GUGGAAGAAGACAGCAGAGAGUAAGAAGAAGGUCCGUUGUACAUGGGGGACAAAUCUUGACUCUUGGAGACCUCAGAAGGAAUUGAUGCAUUCUCAAAUGCUGGCUGAACCUGGGUUGGUCUAUUCAGUUGACAGGAUCCUAUGACUCUUUCCACAUCGUAUUAGAGCACUCCCUGUGAAGUAAGGACAAGAAUCAUGCUAACAGGGGAGAAAAACUGCCAUGUGGAAAUCCUGCACUCAACAUGUGAGGGGAGGUGAAAGCCAAGAAAUAGAAAGAUGUCCUUUCUGUAUGUGGCGAUGCUAAGGAAAUGCUGUCUCUACAUUGUUUAUCCGGAUCCACAGAAAAUGACUUUUGCGGUCACACUUCAUUUUGUAGCAUUUUUUGCAAAUCAUUUGGAUUAAGGUAGCACACAACCAUGGUGUUGAACUAAGUGGAAUGUGUGGCUGGAUAUGGAAGUUUACUGACAACCCAACCAGAGUUGGGAAGCUUGAAAGCUCUGCUGUGGCUCCGGGAGCUGUCUGUGAACCCAGGUGAAGUUUUGGCUCAGCUAAGAGGUAACUUGAUCCAAGUAUAAGCAAGAUAGAAUUAUCAUGGUCCGGAGCAGAUGGAUGGGGUGAAUCACAUGAAAUCAGCCUAAAUUUAUCAGAAGCCAUCAGCAAAGUUUCUUCUAUUUAUGUCUAGUGUUCUAGUUAUCUAUUGCCGCAUAUCAAAGUAUCGCAAAACUUAGUGGAUUAAAACAGCUAUUUUAUUAUAUUUCAUGAUUUGCAUGGGUCAGGAAUGCAGGCCGGGCUUGGCUGAACAAUUCUGUUCCCCGUGGCACGAACGACGGUUACUCAGAGGUAUUCAGCUGGCAGAUGGGCUGGUGGGAAGGGUCUGAGAUGGCUUCACUCACACAUCAGGCUCACGGGUGGACCUUGCUGGAAGGUUGGGCUCAGUGGGCACUGUUGAUCAGAGAACCAAGUCUCCUGUGAACAAAGUGGAAGCUACGUGGCUUUUUAUGACCUAGCUUUGGAGUCAUAUAGGGUCACCUCUGCCAUACUACACGUCAAAGCAGUCACAAACACACCCAGAUUCAAGGGGAAGGGACUCAAACCCAACCCCUCAAUGGUAGGCUGUGUAAAGUGCAACUUCCAAUUUGGGUUAGAAGCUAAGAGGGGAGGUGCGAGCCUGCAGGCUUUCUCUGAGUCUGAGAUCAUAGCUGCAGCUGCUUUGCCUGGGGAUUUGUGACCUAGGGCACAGGCAGGGAGGGAACUGGGAAGGAGGGAUCUGACGUGGCUAAAUCUCUGCUCUCCUGACAGUGCUCCCUGCUCCCGCUUGUGCUUGGCUGGCAGACAGCUCUGCACCCAGGGCUGCAGUCCUGACUAAAGAGCUGAGUGAAGGGUUUCUCCUGCUCCAGACACUGGGCCCCUGGAACUGAGAAGAGGGGAGGAGGCCAGCGUGGAAGGGUGUGUCUGAUCUGAACAAUGGGCAAAUCAAGCAGGGAUCAGGAGCCUGAGAAAUAAUGCCCAGAGUUGCUCAUUACAUGGGAG